GGGGAGAUGGCUCAGUGGGUAAGAGCACCCGACUGCUCUUCUGAAGGUCCAGAGUUCAAAUCCCAGCAACCACA
rnacentral:tRNA from 1 species